rnacentral:tmRNA from 1 species
GGGGCUGACUUGGAUUUCGACAGAUUUCUUGUCGCACAGACAGCAUGCCAAGCGCUGCUUGUAAAACAGCAACAAAAAUAACUGUAAACAACACAGAUUACGCUCCAGCUUACGCUAAAGCUGCGUGAGUUAAUCUCCUUUUGGAGCUGGACUGAUUAGAAUUUCUAGCGUUUUAAUCACUCCAUAACCUUAAGCUAGACGCUUUUAAAAGGUGGUUCGCCUUUUAAACUAAGAAACAAGAACUCUUGAAACUAUCUCAAGGUUUUAGAAAGUUGGACCAGAGCUAGUUUUAAGGCUAAAAAACUAACCAAUUUUCUAAGCAUUGUAGAAGUUUGUGUUUAGGGCAAGAUUUUUGGACUGGGGUUCGAUUCCCCACAGCUCCA